AUCAAAGAAGAGGAAGUACUGACACUUUUGAAAAAAUAUAUAAUUGGAUAAGUCUUCAGGUCCUGACCGAAUAUUCCCUUGGACAUUGAGGGAAGUUAGUGUAGAAAUAGCUGGAGCUAUGACAGAAAUAUUUGAAAUAUCAUUUGAAAGGGAGAAUACUUCAGAUAUCAUCAAAUACGAGACUAUGUGGAAAUACAUA